rnacentral:lncRNA from 1 species
UUUAGAAGCUUUGGCUGAGUAUGCCUGUAAACUCUCUGAGCAGAAAGAACAGCUUGUUGAGACAUGUCGACUGUUGCGGCAUGUAUCCGGCACAGAACCCCUCGAGAUAACGUGCAUGCAUGCAGAGGAGACAUUCCAGGUGACUGGCCAACAGAUCAUUUCUGCUGCUGAAACCCUGACGUUGCAUCCGUCUAGCAAAAUCGCUAAAGAAAACCUGGAUGUGUUUUGUGAAGCGUGGGAGUCUCAGAUUAGUGAUCUGGCAACGCUGCUAAGAGAGAUCAGUGAUGUGUUUGAAGGACGACGAGGUGAGAAACUGUCCCUUUGUUGACGUAUAUUACUGUAGCUUUUAGUUAUGUAUGUAUUUAUGGAUAUAUGUAUAUGUUAAUAUAACUAUUAGUGCUCUGUUUUG